rnacentral:rRNA from 1 species
CCUACGGGGGGCAGCAGUGGGGGAUAUUGCACAAUGGAGGAAACUCUGAUGCAGCAACGCCGCGUGAGGGAAGAAGGUCUUCGGAUUGUAAACCUCUGUCCUCAGGGACGAUAAUGACGGUACCUGAGGAGGAAGCUCCGGCUAACUACGUGCCAGCAGCCGCGGUAUUACGUAGGGAGCAAGCGUUGUCCGGCUUUACUGGGUGUAAAGGAUGCGUAGGCGGCCCUGCAAGUCAGGUGUGAAAACUAUGGGCUUAACUCAUAGAUUGCACUUGAAACUGUGGGGCUUGAGUGAAGUAGAGGCAGGCGGAAUACCCGGUCUGGCGGUGAAGUGAGUUGUAAGCGGGAAGAACGGCAGUGGGGAAAGCGGCGUGCUGGGCUUUAACUGAUGCUGGGGCACGAAAGCGUGUGUAGAGAACAGGAUUAGUGGCCCUGGUAGUG